GGCAAAGGCAAAGCCAUGUGGAAGGUGCAACGGAGGAACAGUAGCAGGGAGAGGCCGGAGUCUUGGAGGCAGAAGCAUGGGUCUCCUCUGAGGGAAGCUGUCGCCUCCUCACUGGCGACCGCUGGGAAUGAGCCAAUCUUCUCUGCCCAGAUCAUCAGAAUCCUCAUUCUACAAAGUGCUGCCUGAUCCAAAGUCAC
rnacentral:lncRNA from 1 species